AUUGGACGCUGGCGGCGUGCCUAACACAUGCAAGUCGAGCGAUGAAGGGGGGCUUGCCCCCUGGAAUAGCGGCGCACGGGUGAGUAACACGAGGAUAAUCUACCCAUUGGUCUGGGAUAACAGUUGGAAACGGCUGCUAAUACCGGAUACGAUCCAAGUAAACAUUUGGGUGAAAGGCGGGGCAACCUGCCGCUGACGGAUGAGUCCGCGUCUCAGUAGGUAGUUGGUGGGGUAAAGGCCUACCAAGCCGAUGAUGAGUAGCCGGCCUGAGAGGGUGACCGGCCACACUAGGACUGGAACACGGCCCAGACUCCGACGGGAGGCAGCAGUGGGGAAUAUUGCGCAAUGGGCGAAAGCCUGACGCAGCGACGCCGCGUGAGGGAUGAAGGCCUUCGGGUUGUAAACCUCUGUCAGGAGGGAAGAAGUGUAUGGUGAGUAACUGCUCCAUAUUUGACGGUACCUCCAGAGGAAGCACCGGCUAACUCCGUGCCAGCCGCCGCGGUAA
rnacentral:rRNA from 1 species